CAUGCAGUCGAGCGGUAAGGCCCUUCGGGGUACACGAGCGGCGAACGGGUGAGUAACACGUGGGUGAUCUGCCUUGCACUUCGGGAUAAGCCUGGGAAACUGGGUCUAAUACCGGAUAUGACCUUCCAGUGCAUGCUGGUGGGUGGAAAGAUUUAUCGGUGCGAGAUGGGCCCGCGGCCUAUCAGCUUGUUGGUGGGGUAACGGCUCACCAAGGCGACGACGGGUAGCCGGCCUGAGAGGGCGACCGGCCACACUGGGACUGAGACACGGCCCAGACUCCUACGGGAGGCAGCAGUGGGGAAUAUUGCACAAUGGGCGAAAGCCUGAUGCAGCGACGCCGCGUGCGGGAUGACGGCCUUCGGGUUGUAAACCGCUUUUGACAGGGACGAAGCGCAAGUGACUGUACCUGUAGAAUAAGGACCGGCCAACUACGUGCCAGCAGCCGCGGUAAUACGUAGGGUCCGAGCGUUGUCCGGAAUUACUGGGCGUAAAGAGCUUGUAGGCGGUUCGUCGCGUCGUUUGUGAAAACUUGGGGCUCAACCUUAAGCUUGCAGGCGAUACGGGCGGACUAGAGUACUUCAGGGGAGACUGGAAUUCCUGGUGUAGCGGUGAAAUGCGCAGAUAUCAGGAGGAACACCGGUGGCGAAGGCGGGUCUCUGGGAAGUAACUGACGCUGAGAAGCGAAAGCGUGGGUAGCGAACAGGAUUAGAUACCCUGGUAGUCCACGCCGUAAACGGUGGGUACUAGGUGUGGGGCUCCUUCCACGGACUCCGUGCCGUAGCUAACGCAUUAAGUACCCCGCCUGGGGAGUACGGCCGCAAGGCUAAAACUCAAAGAAAUUGACGGGGGCCCGCACAAGCGGCGGAGCAUGUGGAUUAAUUCGAUGCAACGCGAAGAACCUUACCUGGGUUUGACAUACACCAGAAACACGUAGAGAUACGUGCCCCCUUGUGGUUGGUGUACAGGUGGUGCAUGGNUGUCGUCAGCUCGUGUCGUGAGAUGUUGGGUUAAGUCCCGCAACGAGCGCAACCCUUAUCUUAUGUUGCCAGCGCGUUAUGGC
rnacentral:rRNA from 1 species